AGACUCUUCAAUCAAGUUAGAUAUGAGAAGCUUGAAGAAGACAGCACCUGAAAAGGCAUCAAGGAUUGCAGAAACUGAGGAAAUGGCUGAGUCCUACUUGCAAAAAAGGAGACACAAUAAUGAGGUGAGCAAUUAUGAAAAGUGCUAGUCUGUACAUGUAUUAGGAUUUUCUGGGGCCAUUUCCAAUGUUGCUGGG